GGAAAAAAUGCAUUAAGCCCUUAAGCAGAAAUUACAAGGUAGUUGCACUCUGUGACAAUCAACUGAGUGAAAAAGAUAGAAAAGGAAAUCCUAAAACUUGCGAGAAGGAAAAACUGAACCAUGGAACAAAACUUUAAUUCAAUUCAGGGAUGCUAGAACAACAAUUUAAACAGAAUAAUGUGAACAGAUAAUUGAUUAAUAAAAUGAAUAAACAGAUAAACCUAAUUAAUCUCAAAGAAAAUUAGAACAUAAAAG
rnacentral:misc_RNA from 1 species